AGCUCGUCCCCGAUUCGGGAUAGCGAAUGGACAGCCUUGCCCAGCACUGCGGGGAGGAGAACAGAAAGUGGUUAGGGGGACUCCUGGGGCUUGCUCACGUGGUCUGCUGCAAGGUAGGUCCAAACUUACCCUUCACGUUGCCCCCGGUGAUCAGGCACUUCAUAGUACAUAAGCACAAAAAUCGAGCUUGUUUUGCACACGAACCGGGACGGGAUAGGACAUAUAAUGAGUCCCAGCAGCUACUACGACUGCCUAAAGUUCCCUUCCCGCGCACCGUCCCCUCCCCGCUGCCGGCCUGGCCUCCGCUUCCUUAUUGGUUCACCCGGGGUUUCUCCGUCACGUGAGAAAAACGUUCCUAAGCUCGGUGUCACGUGAUCUAGUCGGUUCAUUGGGUGUGGCCCGGGUCACGUGACUGCGGAGGGCUUGCUCCUGUGUCCUUCCUCAGGAUCCUUCACUGACCUUCGUAAAUACAUGGAAAGAUGAGAAGGUUCUGGGACAGAAAAGGGUGGAAGGAUGGACUUGUCAGAAGGAGGGGCAGAAGCAGAAGCACAAUGGGGGUAGGCGAAUAUGGGUGAAUGGGGUGUCCCGAGCCUU
rnacentral:lncRNA from 1 species